CCUACGGGAGGCAGCAGUGAGGAAUAUUGGUCAAUGGACGAGAGUCUGAACCAGCCAAGUAGCGUGAAGGAUGACUGCCCUAUGGGUUGUAAACUUCUUUUAUAUGGGAAUAAAAUGUUCCACGUGUGGGCUUUUGUAUGUACCAUAUGAAUAAGGAUCGGCUAACUCCGUGCCAGCAGCCGCGGUAAUACGGAGGAUCCGAGCGUUAUCCGGAUUUAUUGGGUUUAAAGGGGGCGUAGGUGGAUUGUUAAGUCAGUUGUGAAAGUUUGCGGCUCAACCGUAAAAUUGCAGUUGAAACUGGCAGUCUUGAGUAGGGUAGAGGUAGGCGGAAUUCGUGGUGUAGCGGUGAAAUGCUUAGAUAUCACGAAGAACUCCGAUUGCGAAGGCAGCUCACUGGACUGCAACUGACACUGAGGCUCGAAAGUGUGGGUAUCAAACAGGAUUAGAUACCCGGGUAGUC
rnacentral:rRNA from 1 species